rnacentral:rRNA from 1 species
CCUACGGGUGACAGCAGUGGGGAAUAUUGGGCAAUGGAGGCAACUCUUACCCAGCAAUGCCGCGUGAAUGAAGAAGGUCUUCGGAUUGUAAAGCUCUUUAAUUGGGGACGAAAAAAAUGACGGUACCCAUGGAAUAAGCCCCGGCAAACUACGCGCCCGCCGGCGCGGUAACACGUAGGGGGAACGCGUUGUUCGGAAUGACUGGGCGUAAAGGGUGUGUAGGCGGGGUAGCAAGUUAGAAGUGAAAUACCUAGAGCUUAACUCAGGUGCUGCUUCUAAAACUGCUAUACUUGAGUGCAGUAGAGGAAAGUGGAAUUCCUAGUGUAGCGGUGGAAUGCGUAGAUAUUAGGAGGAACAUCAGUGGCGAAGGCGACUUUCUGGACUGUAACUGACGCUGAGGCACGAAAGUGUGGGGAGCAAACAGGAUUAGAUACCCCUGUAGUC